AUCCAUCUGACGAGUCCCAAAUAGGACGACACACACAUCCUGGAU
rfam:Schistosoma mattheei strain Denwood, Zambia genome assembly, scaffold: SMTD_scaffold0000719